rnacentral:rRNA from 1 species
GACGAACGCUGGCGGCGUGCUUAACACAUGCAAGUCGAACGGUGACCCCCUUCGGAGGGGCUCAGUGGUGCACGGGUGAGUAAAACGUGGGCAACCUGCCCCCGGCUCUGGGAUAACUCCAAGCAAUUGGGGCUAAUACUGGAUGUUCCCCGCUUCCCGCACGGGUGGUGGUGCACAGGUUUUCUGGCUGGGGUUGGGCCCGCGGCCUCUCCGCUUGUUGGUGGGGUAGGGGCAUACCAAGGCAAGGACGGGUAGCCGGCCUGGUAGGGUGGCCGGCCACACUGGGACGGAGACACGGCCCAGACUCCUACGGGAGGCAGCAGUGGGGAAGAUUACACUAUGGGCGGAAGCCUGGCGCAACGAAGCAGCGUGGGGUAUGACAUCCAUCGGGUUGUAAACCUCUUUCAGCAUGGACGAGGUGAUAAUGACGGUACCGGCAGAAGAAGCUCCGGCCAACUACGUG